GUGCACUUUGUCUCAUCUGUGUAUAAAAAAAUCAAUUUAAAAGCAAUUGCUUAGGACGAAAAAGCGCACAAGCGCAUCAUAUACGACCAUUCGUCAGCGACACACCACUGAAACCUUCCAUUGCAGACGCGGAAACCAUCUUCGAUAAAAUCAUUCGAGAAAACAAAUACCAGCGGACAUAACCUACGAAGAUGACAAGUGCCUUCAACGACGUUUCGCCGCAGGGUCCGGUGCGUUUCCUAGUCAUUCCCAAGCAGCGAAUCCCAAAACUUGGAGAUGAAACCGUGAAGGAUGUGGAAACGUUUGGGUAUUUGAUGGAAAUUGCCGGUCAGCUGGAAAACAGAAAGCCUCAAAUGGAUUCCGAUUGGUAAUCAACAAUGGAGACCAUGGGUGUCAGACGAUUCACCAUCCACAUUUGCAUAUUAUUGGCGGCCAUUAGGUGAGUUGGCCUCCAGGAUAAUCUAUAUUUUUCUGUUUUUGAUGUUAUGCUACCACUAUCUAUGUCAUGGCUGACGGAACUGUGUGUAAUUAAAGUUAUCCUUCAAGCUGUUAUUCAUUUAUUGGCAAUUCUUUCGACACCUAUCUCGAACUGUACAUUUUUCAUAUUCCCUCCUGCAGUAGCUGCCUUUCUUUAGCCAUUUCCCGAUAAGCAACGAUAGUCAAAUUAAGUUGAACUUUUUUGAUACUGUGUUCCGUGGGGCGCCGACUUCAUCUGAAGAGGAUAUUCUUGAAAUUUCAUGUUGGAAGCUUGCAAGUUACAACAGCAUCCAUUCACGGUGAAUGAAACUCUCUAAUUAAGGAUUUCCUUUCUCAGGGUCGUUUAACCUGCUUCCGGUCACUCGCAAACAGCUGUUCCUCCAGCAGAAAGGAGCAGUGUCGGUUUUAUCCUUCUCCACAAGACCUACGCAUUCCUUUGAAGCCACCAACUACUCCCACAAUCAACUAUCUCUCAAAGGUUGAGCAAUGCUAGCCAACUCCGCCUACCAAUCGAGGACGAGGGCUGGUGACUCCUUUCGAGUCCGAAAAAGCGGGAAUUUCCAAAACCGCAAUAGAGGAGAUAAAUGUAAUUUUCUUACAAUUUUCUUUUUUAAUUCCUUCCUUUUAAAUCUACUCUUUAAUUUUCUUCUGACCCUAUCCUAUUUUCCCUACCUUUUUCUUCUGUCCUAAUUGUGACGUCACAAAAUUUUAUGCUUUUAUACUUGCAGUACUUUUCGUGUAUUUUUUUCUCUUCUUUCUCCGGAUAAAAUCCCCGCUCCAAGCGUGAAUAUGGCUCUUCUGGUUCCGGUAUCCUUACUCGACGUCGACUAUCAAUGGCGGAAAUUGCAGUCGAACGUCCCUUAUCUCAAUGGCGGGUUCCACACGUCUCGGCGGAGAAAAAGAUGAAAUAUAAAAAAAAGGCCCGCUGAAAGGACCUUCUUUUCUCUCUUCCGGUUCUCUUCUUCUUUUUAGCUCUUAUCUUUUCUCUAAUAAUUUCUUUAAUUUCUUAUUACAAUCUUUUUCUAUCUUCUCUAUUUGCUCUCGAUGCACUCUGGCACUAUUAAAAUUUACUUGUUCCGGCACGCACUUCCUACUUCCUUGAUGGUGGAAAGUCGUUCGCCGGCAUUACUCUUUACCGAGCUUUGCUUUCCUUUUUUCUUUUGUGUGAGUUCAUUUAUAUUUUGCCUAGCUGGCAGCUCUGUUGAAUGACAGAUGGUCCCAUGAAGCGUAUUCCGCGGUGGGCAUCUUUACCCAGGGCACACACCGUUCACUUUUGGGCCAACUGUUCACAAGCAACAGGCGGUGGGUAUUUAUGGCGAUUUUUAUUGAAACAUUAUGUUGGGAUCUAUUAUUUGGGUAGAGCCCAAAUUAAUGCUUGGAACCAACGGUUACAUGAACCAGCAGGUGCCGGAAAUCGACGAGCCAGUAUUCCUCCGAGAAACCGCCGCCAAUCAGAUUGUCCUCGAGCAAAGUCCAUAGAAGCAGGAAGCUGUGACGGAAUAGCUAUACGAGCUGCCAACCCAAGGCGUCCCAGCGGAUGUUAUAUUCCGUCUAUUGGUACAUAAUCUGGGCAACAAUUUUAAAUCGGAACCUAUAUUAAUUUAAUUUGGUUUUACCUUUUAUUCCAAUGUAUUCCAAUGCGCAAUAAAUUAUUUUCUGCAAAAACUAAAACUUCCAUAACCGUUUGCCGUUUUUGUUUAUGUUUUGGUUUAACAGUUGUCUGAUUGCUGCGAUGAAAGUUCGAAAUUCACCCCCUUUGGAUUUGUUUGGAUUUGAGGCGAAUUUGAGGGUAGAAUGCAAAAUUUUCGAACUCGAUCGGGUUGUGAAAUCCAAUCGCCGAUCGUGAACAGGAAUGAGGGUGAUUAGCUGUCUUUAACCGUUAUCUACAACUUUUUUUUGUCUAUUUUGAAUAUUUAUUCAUAUAUUUUCUCAUCAAGUGGUUUUAAAAAUCGUUAUUUUUUUAGAAAUUUUGUGGUUUCUAAAUUUCCUACACAGAUAAAUUCCAUAGUUUUUUACUGGGACUGAUGUCGGGACAUUGUAGAGAAAUAUCAAUAACUUUUGAGCAAUUGUAGUGCAACCAUGUGUGAACUUUAUGUGCUAUGUGCUUUGGGCCAUUUUCUUGGUAAAACUUGAAUUUUCGAUUCAAUCUCAUUUUGUUGACACUUUGCUUCAUAUUUUCCUUCAGGAUCUAAAAGUAAAUAUUCUGUUCCAUUAUUCCAUCGGUGAAAACCAACUAUCUUUAGUUGCCUUUAGAAUAUCUCCUUCCACACACAUUUUUGAACGUUCAUAGAGAUGCCGGAAGGCGCGUUUAAACUGCUCAGCCGGUAUGGAUCAUAAUACGCGUCACAUUUGGUUGAAUGUCUAGAACAUCGUCAAAACGGUCGCCUUUCAUAGCGUUCUUUAGUUUGAGAAACAAGAAAAAGUCUACCGGGACAAGGUCCGGAGAAUAGGGGGGGGGGGGGGGGUAUGAGUGAUGACAGUCACCUUUUUUUUGGCUAGAAACUGUGCUACCAAAAUCGCAGUGUGCGCUGGCGCAUUGUCAUGAAGCAAAAACCAUUCUCCAGAUCAGUACUGGUCGAGCCGCAUGCGCCUUAUCUGUAUCAAUAAUCGUUCCAGAACACUUUUGUAGAAGACCGCAUUCACUAUUUGCCCUGGAGGCACAAUAUUUGAUGGCGGCUCUCUGCUCCAUAAUUAAAAUUGUGACGCGACAAAAAUUCACUGGGUUACUCUUAUCAGCCAAAACUAGCUAUUGGAUCGAGAUAGCGGUUCGCAGUAGAAACGGUAGCUGGCCAAAAGUUGGUGGAAAGUGGUUCGUGCGUUGGAGCAGAGAUAUCGCCACUUCUCGAAUUUAGCGCGCGGUAAUCCCGGUACUUUUUGAAUGCAUUGUGUAUGUUAUAUAGUAAUUUACAUUUAACUCCAAAAAAUCGAGAAAAUUGUUUUUUUUUCCGAUCUUUUCGAUCUUUUUGAUUGUCGAUUUAUUCUUGUAAACUUGUUUUUCACGGUUGGAUUUUAUGAGAUUACUGCAGUGGUGUUCUAAAUGAAUAUCAGUUUUAGAAUUUCUAAUAUAUGCCUUUAUAUACAUAACUUCUAUGGGUCUUCACGUUUUUUUAACCUUCAUGCUAAUAAUCAAAAUGAAAUACCUUUGAUGUGUAAAAAAAAUUAAAAGUUCAUAUAAAUAUAACCAAACACCUCCGCAUUUCUGGCAUAUACUCACAAAAUUUGCUUUGGCAUAUACUCACAAAAUUUGCUCCGCACUAAAACGCUUAAAGAAAAGACAACACUCAUAUAGAAUGAGUAUAUAAGUUGGAAACAAGCCAUUUGAUUUUUACCAGAUCGAUUCAGCAAAGAUCGAUUUUCUGAUACCAAUUCAAUCAGUGAAUCGAUCCCUUCGCCGUUUAGAAAAUCGAUCCAUCAAGAUCGAUAUUUUUCCAAAGAUCGCCCAAACCUAGUUCGUAGUGUCGAUGCAGUAUAGUCUGACCACUAGAGAUGGGCAAAACAGUUCACUUUGAUGAACGGUUCACUCAUUAACCGUUCAUCUACGUGAAUCAGUUCUUUUUAACCGUUCUUUCGCUCUUUCAUUCAGCGGUAUUAUACUUGUACUUUGAAAAUUGUAUGUCUGUCACCAUGUACAGCGCUAGAACCAUGCAAGCAACUCGGUACGAUCGCUGUACCUGUACCGACCUAUUUUACCGCUGUACAUGGCUACAGUUGUACUGUGCGCAGCGCCAUAGACGGUUAGUGGUGGGUAGCAUGAACAAAUCGAAUCAAAACACUUGGCAAACAUUCUUUUCGUAGACUUUCUCUUGAGUUAAUAACUCAGAUUGGAAACAUAUUUGUUGUGUUUGAUAGUUUAGACGCUAAAUAAAAACCUUUUGCAUCGAAAUAUGUGGUGAAAAUUGGAAAAAUUCUGAUUGUCAGUUUGACAUACGGUACAAUGUACAACCAAAGUAUGUCUGUCAUGGUACGAUAGUACCUGUACAACGCUGUACUCUUACAGCGCAAGUACAGCUGUAUGUCUGUCCCUGGUAUUAGGAACAACAGAGAAUGUCGGCUGGAACCCAACAUCAAUAGACAGCUAAUAAUUGAUAUCGUUGGAUUAGAUAGUGUACGUAUGGGAUUUAUGUAGUAAUCUUUCUUUCUUUGUUUUUAAAAGGCUUUAAACUUUGAAGUUCAUUCGCCUCUAUGUAGUAAUUUGAUGCGCACAAAAUAUGUGCAAUUUUUCAUAUUCUCUUUUUGGACAACACGCUGGUUUCAUGUAAGAUUACAUAUUUCAUAAUGUUCAUUCAGGGAAAAAAAUCAACAGCGAUUUUCACUAACAAUCAAUCACAAUAACAUGACACGCAAUAGGCCAAUCAAUGAGUUGGAAGCAACGAAAAAACUUUUUUCUCAACAUGCCCUCACUAUAAAAUUUUAUGUUUACCUAAUCCAUGAAUCGCCCCAGUUUCCCCCAGAUUUUUUUUCUGAUAAUCACGAAAUAUAUGAAUGGUAGGCGGAAUUGAAUGAAUACAUGUCAAUACAUGUCGUCCAGCGCAAAUCAGGUCAGCUGCACUAGUUCGUUCGCAAACAGUUCGCCCGCAAACACUUCGUUCUCAAACAGUUCGUUCCCAAACAGUUCACUCUCAAUUAGUUCUUUCCCAUACAGUUCACUCGCAAACAGUUCGUUCUGAACCAGUUUGUUCACAAGCAGUUCACUCGCAAACCGUUCUUUCGGAAUCAGUUUGUUCACAAACCGUUCGCUCGCAAUCAGUUCGUGGGGAGAACUACCGUUCUUUGAAAAAGAACGACCGUUCGUUCACUCUUUUCGGCGAACUAGUUCGUUCGUACCGUUCGUGAACGGUUUGCCCAUUUCUACUGACCACGUUCAUCUUCAAGGAAUGCUCGUGACCAAGGCGUUAUACUAUAGGUGGACCGCAAUGUCAAAAUUGCUGUUCGGCCAUUGCUCGUGAAAAAACAAAUUUGUUUACAAAGCAAAUCAUAUCUUUUGGUGACAAAUGCAUUCGUUGGCAAAAUAGCUGCUCGCGCUUCACUGUAGGCAGAUAUCUACAAUCAGCGGUCGAAUUAAAAACAGUGCAGAAGGAUGUUUUGAGUAUAUUUUACCUUCUAGCCGCGCAAUCAAUGCUUUUCUUUCCAAGCAAGCAGCGUUUUUCGGCAAAAGCAUGAAAUAGAAUCGUACGUGGUACGAAUUUAUCGGCACAAUCUGAUCAAGAACGGAGGCAUCAUCAAACGGAAACUACGCGAAAAACUUUUCGAAGAGAUAAAACUGCGCCGCGCCACACUCGUGUCAAAAUGGACGAGUUGGGCUGGGUGUUGAUGAACCACAAUUUGAUAACACGUAAUGAGCCAAUCCAACAGCAUGCCAAUGGUAAUCGACCAAAUCAUUUUAAAUUGAACAUGGAGCGGUUGCGAAACCUACUGGAGCAGCAAGAACAGAACAAUCACGCUGAGUUGACUUCCAAAAAGCAAAACAAAUUCCUGCGUAUGCUGGAUGCAAUUUUACAAAACGACAAAGUUUUGAAGGAAAUUAAAGAGAUGGUAGCGGCGAAUCGACUUCUAUCGGAAAUUCGUUAUGUGACUACGGUGAAACGUAUGCUGAAACACAAUUUGGACCCCUCUUUGCGCUGCUGCUUUGUAUGCCGAGAGUAUUUCCGCACUGCCGAUGAGUAUACCAGUCAUUUCGAAAAAUUGCACGGUGAGAAAUUUCUUAUUGUUGCGGCGGUGGAUCGAUUUCAGACUAGUCAAAAGUUCAACGUUCUACAUCACUCCAAUGCCCUUAAUCCGGUGACAAUAUUCACGAUUUGCAACGUAUACCACACAGCCCUAAUAAAAAAAAACAAGAAAAGACGGGUCUAAUAUUUUACAAUAAAGAACAAAUCUACCACUUUCCACGAAAAUCGGAGAACCACUAUAUCGGUUAGACAUGGAAUGACUGAUACAUAUAAGGCAGAAAAAAGGUUUAACUUUGGAAUUCAACAUCCUAUAUUUCCUCGUACCAUUAAGUUCAUGGCGCAUUUGAUGUCGGUCAUCGUAACUGCUUCUAUGGAAAUGACGUGAGCAUAUGAUUUGAUUUUUGAUUUUUAUCUCCAUCUCGGAGAAAAGUGUGGUAAACAAUGUCCGGGUUAUUUUUCGUUAUGAGAACCUUGUUUCCACAUCCUUUUACUGCACAAUAAUACGGCAUCUGAAGUAAAUAAAAUAUUCACAAUAUAAUUUUGGCAUGAUAGAGAACCGCGAGAUGAACGAUUAUCUGUGGAGGAGUUGGACAACAGAUUUCUUAGACUUAUAGCACUUUUAUCACACUCACAAGCUCAUCAAAUCCUCACUG